rnacentral:tRNA from 1 species
GUUUUGGUGACCGAGUUUUAGGUGAAAGAUUUUUAAUCUUUUUACGGAUAAUUUCCUCAAAGCA